UACGUAGGGGGCAAGCGUUGUCCGGAAUCAUUGGGCGUAAAGAGCGUGUAGGCGGCCCGAUAAGUCCGCUGUGAAAGUCCAGGGCUCAACCCUGGAAUGCCGGUGGAUACUGUCGGGCUCGAAUCCGGAAGAGGUGAGUGGAAUUCCUGGUGUAGCGGUGAAAUGCGCAGAGUAUCAGGAGGAACACCAAUGGCGAAGGCAGCUCACUGGGACGGUAUUGACGCUGGAGACGCGAAAGCGUGGGGAGCAAACAGG
rnacentral:rRNA from 1 species